rnacentral:rRNA from 1 species
CAGCACCUCAAGUGGUCAGGAUGAUUAUUGGGCCUAAAGCAUCCGUAGCCGGCGCUGUAAGUUUUCGGUUAAAUCUGUACGCUCAACGUACAGGCUGCCGGGAAUACUGCAGCGCUAGGGAGUGGGAGAGGUAGACGGUACUCGGUAGGAAGGGGUAAAAUCCUUUGAUCUAUUGAUGACUACCUGUGGCGAAGGCGGUCUACCAGAACACGUCCGACGGUGAGGGAUGAAAGCUGGGGGAGCAAACCGGAUUAGAGACCCGAGUAGUCC